rnacentral:rRNA from 1 species
ACUCCUACGGGAGGCAGCAGUGGGGAAUAUUGCACAAUGGGCGCAAGCCUGAUGCAGCCAUGCCGCGUGUGUGAAGAAGGCCUUCGGGUUGUAAAGCACUUUCAGUCGUGAGGAAGGUAGUGUAGUUAAUAGCUGCAUUAUUUGACGUUAGCGACAGAAGAAGCACCGGCUAACUCCGUGCCAGCAGCCGCGGUAAUACGGAGGAUCCAAGCGUUAUCCGGAAUCAUUGGGUUUAAAGGGUCCGUAGGCGGUUUUAUAAGUCAGUGGUGAAAUCCGGCAGCUCAACUGUCGAACUGCCAUUGAUACUGUAGAACUUGAAUUAUUGUGAAGUAACUAGAAUAUGUAGUGUAGCGGUGAAAUGCUUAGAGAUUACAUGGAAUACCAAUUGCGAAGGCAGGUUACUAACAAUAUAUUGACGCUGAUGGACGAAAGCGUGGGUAGCGAACAGGAUUAGAUACCCUGGUAGGAUAGCGU